UCAGGUUUUUACAAAAAAGACUGACAUUUAUGGGGUUAAAAUACAAAACCUGAAUAAAGUUUUGCUAUUUAUGAUUAGGUUAUAAGUCAAUGAUGGCAGCCAAAAAAAAAAAAAAUUAAAUAUAUUUAUUUAGACAAUAUUUCUACUGCAGCAAAAUGGAGGGGACUGUUUCGGUCCUUAGGGGUGUUAAUAGAAGUUUUUGUUAUUAUUCAACAGUACAGAAAAAAUACAAAUCCUUUCAAAUCAAUUUUCUCAUCAAUGUUUACCAAUCCCAUGCUCUAAUAAUCAAAAGUUUAAAAAAACAAUUUGCAUUUAUAGGAUGGAAAAUAAUUCACUAAUUGUGUUUUUUGACUUAUAAUAAUAUCAGGUUUUUACAAAAAAGACUGGCAUUUAUGGGGUUAAAAUACAAAACCUGAAUAAAGUUUUGCUAUUUAUGAUUAGGUUAUAAGUCAAUGAUGGCAGCCAAAAAAAAAAAAAUUUAAAUAUAUUUAUUUAGACCAUAUUUCUACUGCAGCAAAAUGGAGGGGACCGUUUCGGUCCUUAGGGGUGUUAAUUGAAGUUUUUAUUAUUAUUCAACACUACAGAAAAAAUACAAAUCCUUUCAAAUCAAUUUUCUCAUCAAUGUUUACCAAUCCCAUGCUCUAAUAAUCAAAAGUUUAAAAAAACAAUUUGCAUUUAUAGGAUGGAAAAUAAUUCACUAAUUGUGUUUUUUGACUUAAAAUAAUAUCAGGUUUUUACAAAAAAGACUGUCAUUUAUUGGGUUAAAAUACAAAACCUGAAUAAAGUUUUGAUAUUUAUGAUUAGGUUAUAAGUCAAUGAUGGCAGCCAAAAAAAAAAAAAUUAAAUAUAUUUAUUUAGACCAUAUUUCUACUGCAGCAAAAUGGAGGGGACCGUUUCGGUCCUUAGGGGUGUUAAUUGAAGUUUUUCUUAGGGGUGCACAAGGGUUAAGACUAACAUAAGGGCUAUGUAAUUUGAUUUCUGCUUAUGUAUACCAGGGGAUGAUAGAAUAAAGAGACCGCUACUUCUUAAAUCCUGUCAGCAUUUAAGGCAUAUGUUUAACAUGGAAAAAUGUUAUGCAGGCCAUGCUGCAAAACCAAAACAUUGCACAAUUGUUUAAACAGCUUGUAACACCUGUUACUUACCACUUUAUUGUAUUAUUUUCUCUUAUUAAAAAGUAACACCCGUUACCAAACUUGUCUUAUUUCACUUUUAUUUGUCAUCCGGCCACUAAAUAUACGUACGUGACUUUGACGUGUACACAGUAAUCCAAUAAGAGCUGCAAAUGUUGACUUUUUUCGGUUAAUUUUAAUAUUUACCUCUUAAAUGCGCGCUCACUGCAGUCUGUCCCGUUGAAGAGCAUGGACAGUGCAGGCUGCGCUUGGAACUAUGGAGGGGUACAUGAACCACGUGACCGCUCCGGCAGCGAGAUCUGAAGUUGUCCCCACUCUGUUUAAUCCACUGCUCUGGUCGCACCCAGUCGCCUUCCCAAUCACACACAUCCAAAUUUGAGCACAUACACACCCACAGAGGAAGAAAAAAAAGAAAGAAAGUAACAAUAAUAAUAAAAUAAAACAAGUCCAAUAUAAGUCCAUGGGAGAUGUAGAAAAAAAAAGUAACAAUAACAUAAAAUAAAACAAGUCCAAUAUAAGUCCAUGGGAGAUGUAGAUGAGGAAUAUGAGUGUAACAGAAGGUCAGGCAUCAGCCUUAGCCAAAAAGGUAGUAAUAUACCUACAUAGUAUGUAGCAGGGCUGUUCCAUAUAGGCAUACACCUACUCACCAC